AAUUAAAAUCAUUUAAAGUCCAAUUUUGGCCCAAGUAAUUAAGAGAUUGGACUCCUAAUGUUAACCUCAAGCAUCAAGCCGAAAGGAAAUUAAGAUCAAUCAUCUAGGCACUGCAGUGGAUCAAUCCUUUGUGUACAGAGAUUUGUAUUGUAUUAUGUAAGAUAUGAUGAUUUUAUUCUUAUAUACAAUUUUUUAUUUCAUAUAAAAUAGGAUUAGAAAGCACACUUAAUUCUAAAAUCAUUAAUUGCUAAUGCUAUAGGCCGUUAUGGUAAUGACAGCAUUAUUUUAUUUAAUAAUUAGUAACUAUAUAUAACAAUGUUGGUAUUUAGUGAAUUUAAUUUGAUAAAUGUGCUUUUUAUGGUAUUUUCUAUUUUUAGUAAAUAUUUCAGAUUUUUUGAAAAUUCUUAUAUACUAUAAUGUGCGUAUCACCCGAUAUUCAACCGAUAUACCGCGACGGAUGUGGAACAACCGAGACCGCGACGCGACCGCGAUCUGCGAUGGCGAACCAUGCUCACAAGUUGGAAAGAAUACUCAACAGCUUACCUCUAACCCAUACUUCCCAGGCAAAAUGUUUCGAAGUUAGACUAAUUUAGAAGCUUUUUUUUUUUUAAUGGCGUGAUGGUAUCUGCUUAUAAGAAAUACAAAAAAUAAAAUUUAGUUUAGAAACCCUGCCUAGGAACUUGAUGAUAAGUAUAAACUUUUCUCACUUCUUCAAACUAGAGACAUCCUGCAAUGUAGCAAAUCCUUUUUUGGGGAUGGUAUUGGUAUACUUUUUUAUUUCAUGAUGUAAGCUUCUCAAGAAUGGUCCAGUAGUGUUUAUAUCAAUCCUCGUACAAAAUAAUGGAGAUGGCUGGGGGAACUUGCACUAGCUAGUAUAGGAAGCCAGUAGCAGUAGUGAGUGGAAGUCCUUUCUACAUCCCGCAGAUGCGCUCCUGAUUGGAUGUAACAGCUCAGGUAUCCUGCUCCUCGUGCUCCAGAAUUGGCUAAGAGAGUGAAGGAACUGCUCAAAGACUGGUUUUAAUCAAGAAUAUGAGAAUAAGUGAAAUUUAGACCAUGGAGCAUGGACUCCCCUCAUGCUUAUGUACCCAGAGACUGAGACACACGCCCAAUCAAGCGGGGAUAAGACUUACCCACUUAUGACAGGGGAAGUGCAUUGGCACCUCUGAAGGAUGGGGGUUACCUCAUAGUUUGUUCUGGAUCUGCCACUCACAACUUAAGGUCUCUCCAUGAAUCUAGUUCUGUUGAUUCUUGGGCUUUCCAAUUUGACCAAUGGCUCAAAGUAGCUUUCUCAGUGGAAGGAAAAGUAUCUAAGUUACAAACUUACAUUUUAAAACAUGUCCGUUCACAGCUCUUCAGAUAAAGUAACAAAUAAGUUGGUUAGAAAUUUAUGUUCUUGGAAUUAUGCUAGGCAUUUUGUGUUUGACUGUUUUUCUUGCUUCUUUUGGUUGCUUGAAACAUGGUUAACAAUUCAUGGCUAGGUCUCUCAUUGACUGGAGAUGUGUACACUAUUGGAAUUCUGGUUGGUAGUUCUCAUCAUUAUGAAAACUAGGUAUAGAUGCUCUAUUCAUUAUGAAAGUAGACAUUUUAUGUCAUAUACAAUUGAAACAUAGUUUUACUCCAUGAAGCUGCUUUCAUGUUGUGGUGUAGAGUUUCUAGUUAAUCUGAGGCUGUAUACAUUACACUUCUGAGGUCUCUCUGUCUUUUGAUGUGUACUGGGAGAAUUGGAAGCUUGUUUUCGCUAUGUGAUAACUA